AGGGAACCUAAAGCCUUUCGUUUACCCCUCACUCAUGCUCCGCUUCUUCCCGCCUGCUCCUCCUCCCUUUCAGCAGCCCAGUGUCGCCGCCACAACUCCCCGGUUCACUGCCGCCACCGCCGUCUCUCUUCCUCUCGUUCUGCGCGCCUCCCUCCUAGCGGAUUGCUCUGAUUUUCUACUCUCUUGCUGUUGCUGCUGAAUUAUUUGGGGGAAUGCAUCCCUUCUGUCACCAUUGGCAGUUCUGGGAGGAAUGUCAAUAUUCUGAAUUCUCUAAUUCCCUUCUCGGGAAAGGUAAACUGUUAACUGAGACUGCGUUUGUUAAGGUUUCAAGAUACUUAUGGUAUGAAUUUGAGGGGUCUACUUAACAGGCUAUGCACUGUGUAGUGGCUAAAAGCAAUGGGAACGGGGCUUUCGUCAUAACAUCUCUACUUAUGCAGCUCUCAUUAGGAUAUUGUGCUCUUGGGGUUUGGAGAGAAAGCUUGACUCUCUGUUCUUGAAUCUUAUUGGCUCCGAGAAAACAGAAUUUGAUGUUUUAGAUUUGCUUGAAUCACUUAAUCAAGGAUAUGUGAUGGAUUGCUCAUUCAUUCGAGCAUACAAUGCGUUGAUCAAGGCUUAUGUUAGUGUUAGCUUGUUCGAUAGUGCUGUGGACUUACUUUUCCGAUCAGAAAGGAAGGGAUUUGUUCCACAUAUUUUUACUUGUAAUUUUCUCUUGAACCGCCUUAUCGAGCAUGGUAAAUUGAAUAUGGCUCUAACUGUGUAUAAGCAGUUGAAGAGGUUUGGUUUUCAUCCUAAUGAUUAUACUUAUGCUAAUGUAAUAAAAGCACUCUGUAAAAUGGGUAAUAUGGAAGAAGCUAAAGAUAUUUUUGAGGAGAUGAGUGAAGCUGGGGUGGUCCCAAAUGCCUUUGCUUGUACUGCAUAUAUUGAAGGGUUGUGUACCCACCGUUGUUCAGCUUACGGGUAUCAGUUGCUACAAGAUUGGAGAGCAGCACAGGCCCCGAUAGAUGUGUAUGCUUACUUUGUAGUAAUUCGUGGAUUUUGUGAAGAGAUGGAAGUAAACAAGGCAGAAAAUGUUUUUCUCGAUAUGGAAAAGUAUGGAGUAGUUCCAGAUGCACAAACUUAUGGAGUGUUGAUCAAUGGUUAUUGCAAGAUGUUGAAGUUAUGCAAGAUGUUGAAGUUAUGCAAAAAAAGGCUUUGUCUCUUCACAGUUUCAUGUUGUCAAAAGGUAUAAAAACAAAUUGGGUGAUUGUCAGCUCUAUUCUUCAAUGCUUGAUAAGGAUGCAAAUGCAAGUAGUGUUUGAUACUCUACAAUUAUAUGAAGAUGUGAGAGAUGCUAUCCGAAGCUGAUCUUCUCAUUCUAUACAACACUUCUAUGCCGUUGUAUACAGUAUACUGCAGUUCAGGAGAUCUGCAUUUCUGAAAUUUGGUAGUUGAUCAAACUUGCAUAAUCCUGCCAUAAUUUCAAAAGAAAGUGCGACCAUGGUAGGAAUGGAUUUUUUGUGCUGGUAGAGUUCUUUUGUGAUAAAUCAUUUAAAUAAAAGUCAAUGAAAGAGAAUUUUCAAUUGGGAGGAGAAUUUUCAAGCACCAAUCUCUGAAAGAGAAUUUAGAAGAAGAAUGGUCAAUUCUGAUGGCGGAAAGUUCAAACAAGGAGAUGAGAGCGGAAAAGACAAAACGAUGACCCUUUUAGGUCUCUGUUUCAGGGAGGACAUGGCGGUGGCGGCGGUGGUGUUGACGGUGGAGGAAAUUAUGGCCCUGAUUCUGAAGAAAUGAUUGAACAAAUCUGGAAAGAAGCAAUGGGGUUUCAAUGGGUUGACAAAAUGGAAGAGAGACGAAACAGAGGAUGAGACAGCUCCAUUGGCCCUCCAAAGAUGUGACAGUGAAGCCUUUUGGUUUUCUUCAAGUUCAAUUCAGAUUGCAACGAGUCCAAUUGGGAAGGCUCCCAGCACUAAAUAAUAAAAAGGAAGUUGCAUUCAAAUGGUUCUCCAUCCGAUUUCUCCAUUGACAAGAAGGUUUUAGUUGAGAGGAUUGAAGAAAAUAGCUUUCACGAGUCCAAUCAGAGCUCAACUCCACAAAUCCCAACCUCAAAUACUCGUAUAAUGGCAGCAACUCGAUGCGAUGGACGACAUUUGAUGACGACAAGAAGUGCCAGCCAAAUCCCUUCAACAACAAUAUUAGCAAACCCAAAGGGCUUUCAGUGUUGGUGCUUAUAAUUCUCAAGUAUUUGUAAGCAUAGAGCUGAAAUUACCGUCUCCCUGUCUUGGUUAUCUGUUGUCUUGAUACAGUUCCUUUUUUGGUGUAUAUUGUACAAAUGUCUGCGUGAUUCAAACCAAACUGGCUUUUCCAGAUAUUCAUUCGAGCUUUUAUGCUCAGGGUAAAACUAGAAACUUGUGCAAA